rnacentral:sRNA from 1 species
GCUAGGCGGGAGAGCGCGGCCAUGGCGGGGCCGGGCGUCCCCGGUGCCCCCGCAGCGCGCUGGAAACGCCACAUCGUGCGGCAGCUGCGGCUUCGGGACCGUACGCAAAAGGCGCUUUUCCUGGAGCUGGUGCCGGCCUAUAACCAUCUCUUAGAGAAGGCUGAGCUGCUGGACAAGUUCUCAAAGAAGCUGCAGCCGGAGCCAAACACUGUCACUCCCACCACCCACCAGGGCCCCUGGGAGGAGUCAGAGCUUGACUCAGACCAAGUCCCAUCACUGGUCGCACUGAGGGUGAAGUGGCAGGAGGAGGAGGAGGGGCUCCGGCUGGUCUGUGGUGAGGGGCCCGGACACCCUAGGCGAUGGGAUGAGGGAGAGAAGGGAGACUCUGGCUCUGGCCCCUGAGCCAGAGCCCCUGGAGAAGGAAGCUUGUGAGAAGUGGAAGAGGCCAUUCAGGUGAGGACCCAGGUGACAGUCUCAGAGCUCUGAGCUGAGCCCCACCCCAGAGGCUGCCAGGGUCUUCCUCUUGGACCUUGGAGUCAGCUCUUGGGUUGGGAGGGGGCUUGAGGAGAGGCCAGAAAGCUCAGAUCUCCCAGGGCUAGUCUGACCUCCAUUGUCUGGAGCCACUUGGGGUCAGUUCCAUCUCACCCCCCCAACCCCUACCCUCCUUCUUGGGAUCAGAGCUCUGGGGGUGGGGUGUCAGGCUUCUGAAUAGCUGUCACCAGGAAAGAACCUGUGGGCAAAGCCCAGAGCCCAGUCAUGGCAGGCAUGUGUGCGCAGCCAUAGGUGUGCAAGCAUGUGCAUCCGCAGGGACAUGAGGCCACAGGUGUGUACAAGCUUGACUGAGCCCGUCUGUAUGUGUGAAUAUAUAAGCAUGUGUAGAUGUGUGCUCACACUUGUGGGACCUGAUUGGGGCUUCAGACCUUGGGUGCCUGUCCGCAGGGUCUCCUCCAUCCUUCUUGAUUUGCCUGUCAUUGAGGCUGCCCCCUCUGGGCCCCAUUCCCCAGCCUAACACCUCUUCUCAGUCUUUACUUGCAGGUCCCUGGUGUCCAGGCCUUGGGGCAGUGAAGAAACCGUGGGGAGGGGCAUGAGAUGCCAGUCCCCAAAGUCCUUGGGAGCCCUUGUGGGCCAAGUCAUUGUAGGACACACCCUCUCCUGGGCAUUGCUG